rnacentral:tRNA from 1 species
GUCUCAGUGGCAUAGUGGUUAGCGCCCGAGCCUCGGUUGAGCUCGAGACGAGGGUUCAAAUCCCGCCUGAGGUG